rnacentral:rRNA from 1 species
GUAGGUGGCAAGCGUUGUCCGGAAUUAUUGGGCGUAAAGCGCGCGCAGGCGGUUCUUUAAGUCUGAUGUGAAAGCCCACGGCUCAACCGUGGAGGGUCAUUGGAAACUGGAGAACUUGAGUACAGAAGAGGAAAGCGGAAUUCCACGUGUAGCGGUGAAAUGCGUAGAGAUGUGGAGGAACACCAGUAGCGAAGGCGGCUUUCUGGUCUAUAACUGACGCUGAGGCGCGAAAGCGUGGGGGAGCAAACAGGAUUAGAUACCCUGGUAGUCCACGCCGUAAACGAUGAGUGCUAAGUGUUAGGGGGUUUCCGCCCCUUAGUGCUGCAGCUAACGCAUUAAGCACUCCGCCUGGGAGUACGGCCGCAAGGCUG